rnacentral:tRNA from 1 species
AAGGAUUUAGGAUAACAUUAAACCAAGGGCCUUCAAAGCCCUAAACAAGAGUCAAACCUCUUAAUCCUUG